rnacentral:rRNA from 1 species
UACCAGAGUACUAUGAAUAAUAUAAAAAUUUAAAACUCAAAGAACUUGGCGGUGUUUUAGACCACUCAGGGGAACCUGUCUCGUAAUCGACAAUCCACGUUGUACCUGACCUUUUUUUGUUUUCAGUUUGUAUACCGUUGUCGUCAGGUAACUUUUUAGAAAGUAGAAGUUGGCUAUAGAAACAUGGUGAUUUAAGACGUCAAAUCAAGGUGCAGCUAAUAAAAAGGGGAGGAUGGGUUACAGUUAUAUAGUUAUAAUUACGGAUAUCUAUGUGGAAGCAUAGGUUAUGAAGGAGGACUUGAAAGUAAAUUGAAUUAUGAAAGCAGUUUGAAUAAGGCUCUGAAACGUGU